CACGUAGGGUGCGAGCGUUGUCCGGAAUUAUUGGGCGUAAAGAGCUCGUAGGCGGUGUGUCGCGUCGGCCGUGAAAACCUGCAGCUUAACUGUGGGCUUGCGGUCGAUACGGGCAUCACUGGAGUUCGGCAGGGGAGACUGGAAUUCCUGGUGUAGCGGUGAAAUGCGCAGAUAUCAGGAGGAACACCGAGUGGCGAAGGCAGCUCGCUGGGACGGGUACU
rnacentral:rRNA from 1 species